rnacentral:rRNA from 13 species
CAGCGAGUUACGCAGUUAGCUAUACAAGAAAAACAAGCUGAAUUGUUAAGAAGAAAAACUGAAAUUGUAGAAGAGAAUGAAAGAGAAAAACAAGCUAUGUCUUCUGCUGCGUUAGCAUUAGACCGCGUAACAAGUAGCGGUGUUUUCGACGCUAAUGAUGAAGAUUCAGAUUAUCUAGAUUA